GAUCCUGCCAGAGGCGACCGCUAUUGGAGUUCGAUUAAGCCAUGCGAGUAGAAAGAAAUUAGAUUCUUUGCAUACUGCUCAGUAACACGUGGAUAACCUGCCCUACACUGGGGAAUAAUCUCGGGAAACUGAGGAUAAUACCCCAUAGACCACUACGCCUGGAACGGUGAGUGGUUGAAAGCUCAGGCGGUGUAGGAUGGGUCUGCGGCGUAUCAGGUCGUAGGGGGUGUAAUGGACCUCCUAGCCAUCGACGCGUACGGGUUGUGGGAGCAAUAGCCCGGAGACGGAUUCUGAGACACGAAUCCGGACCCUACGGGGUGCAGCAGGCGCGAAAACUUCACACUGCAGGAAACUGUGAUGAGGGAACUCCAAGUGACUGCACAUUGUGUAGCCUUUUCUUGAAUCUUAAUAGUUCUUGGAAUAAGGGCUGGGAAAGACCGGUGCCAGCCGCCGCGGUAAUACCGGCAGCUCGAGUGGUCGUCGCUUUUAUUGGGCCUAAAACGUCCGUAGCCUGUUUGGUAAAUCUGUGGGUAAAUCAACGAGCUUAACUCGUUGAAUUCUGCAGAGACUGCCAGACUAGGGACCGGGAGAGGUAUGAGGUACUCUGGGGGUAGGGGUAAAAUCCUGUCAUCCUCAGAGGACCACCUGUUGCGAAGGCGUCAUACUGGAACGGAUCCGACGGUCAGGGACGAAGCCUAGGGGCACGAACCGGGAUUAGAUACCCGGGGUAGUCCUAGGUGUAAACGCUGUGGAUUUGGUGUGUGGGGUCCGCAAUGGGCCCCAUGUGCCGGAGUGAAGAUGUUAAAUCCACUGCCUGGGGAGUACGGUCGCAAGGCUGAAACUUAAAGGAAUUGGCGGGGGAGCACUGCAACGGGAGGAGCGUGCGGUUUAAUUGGAUUCAACGCCGGAAAACUCACCAAGGCCGACUGUUAGAUGAAGAUCAGUGUAACGAACUUAUCGGAUUAUCAGAGAGGUGGUGCAUGGCCGUCGUCAGUUCGUACUGUAAAGCGUUCUGUUAAGUCAGAUAACGAACGAGACCCGCAUCCCUAUUUGCGACCCUCAUGUCCGCAUGAGGCGCACCAUAGGGAGAUCGCUGGUGUGAAACCAGAUGAGAGCGCGGGCAACGACAGGUCAGUAUGCCCCGAAUGUCUUGGGCUACACGCGCGCUACAAAGGACAGGACAAUGGGAAGCCACGCCGAGAGGCGGCGCUACCCCGAAACCUGUUCGUAGUUCGGAUCGAGGGCUGUAACUCGCCCUCGUGAAGCUGGAUUCCGUAGUAAUCGUGUUUCAACAUAGCACGGUGAAUAUGCCCCUGCUCCUUGCACUCACCGCCC
rnacentral:rRNA from 1 species